GAUGAACGCUGGCGGCGCGCCUAACACAUGCAAGUCGAACGAUUAAAGCACCUUCGGGUGUGUAUAAAGUGGCGAACGGCUGAGUAACACGUGGGCAACCUGCCCCUCUCAUUGGGAUAGCCACGGGAAACCGUGGAUAAUACCGAAUACUUCGGGACUUCCGCAUGGAAGACUCGAGAAAGCUCCGGCGGAGAGGGAUGGGCCCGCGGCCUGUUAGCUUGUUGGUGGGGUAAUGGCCUACCAAGGCAAUGAUGGGUAGCUGGGUUGAGAGACCGACCAGCCAGAUUGGGACUGAGACACGGCCCAGACUCCUACGAGAGGCAGCAGUGGGGAAUCUUGCACAAUGGGCGAAAGCCUGAUGCAGCGACGCCGCGUGCGGGAUGAAGGCCUUCGGGUUGUAAACCGCUUUCAGCAGGGACGAGGCGAAAGUGACGGUACCUGCAGAAGAAGCCCCGGCUAACUACGUG
rnacentral:rRNA from 1 species